rnacentral:rRNA from 1 species
CAGUAGCCGCGGUAAUACGAAGGGGGCUAGCGUUGCUCGGAAUGACUGGGCGUAAAGGGCGCGUAGGCGGCAUGUACAGUCAGACGUGAAAUUCCUGGGCUUAACCUGGGGGCUGCGUUUGAUACGUGCAGGCUAGAGUGGGGAAGAGGGUUGUGGAAUUCCCAGUGUAGAGGUGAAAUUCGUAGAUAUUGGGAAGAACACCGGUGGCGAAGGCGGCAACCUGGUCCUUGACUGACGCUGAGGCGCGAAAGCGUGGGGAGCAAACAGGAUUAGAUACCCGGGUAUCCCUGUCUCUUAUACA